CCUGGUUGAUCCUGCCAGUAGUCAUAUGCUUGUCUUAAAGAUUAAGCCAUGCAUGUCUAAGUUUAAGUAAUUUAACGGCGAAACUGCGAAUGGCUCAUUAAAUCAGUUAUAAUUUACUUGGUUGAUCCUACUCUUACUCGGAUAACUGUAGUAAUUCUAGAGCUAAUACGUGCAACGAAGCCCCAACUUUUCGGAAGGGGUGCACUUGUUAGGUACCAAACCAGCCGGGCAACCGAGUUCUGGUGAUUCUAGACAAGUAGGCGGAGCGUGUGACCUUGUGUCGACGCCGAAUCAAUCAAGUUUCUGCCCUAUCAACUUUGGAUUGUAGUGUAUUGGACUACAAUGGUGAUAACGGGUGACGGGGAAUUAGGGUUCGAUUCCGGAGAGGGAGCCUGAGAGAUGGCUACCACUUCCAAGGAAGGCAGCAGGCGCGCAAAUUACCCAAUGCCAAUUCGGCGAGGUAGUGACAAUAAAUAACGAUCCUGGUUUCAUAUGAAACUAGGAAUUGGAAUGAGUACAAUGUAAAUAACUUAACGAGGAACACAUUGGAGGGCACGUCUGGUGCCAGCAGCCGCGGUAAUUCCAGCUCCAAUAGCGUAUAUUAAAGUUGUUGCAGUUAAAAAGCUCGUAGUUGGAUUUCUGUGGACGUUGGUAGUGGUGGUGCAAACAAUGUACUUGCUACUAUCGGCUCCUCAUAAUGUUCGCCUGCCGUUUUCUGCUCUUAACUGGGUGGUCAGCGGUGGUGGACCGAUUACCUUGAACAAAUUAGAGUGUUCAAAGCAGGCAAUUCUUUUGCCCUGAAUAAAUUAGCAUGGGAUAAUGGAAUAUGACUCGGCUCAAGUUCGUUGGUUAUCUAGAGUCGAGUAAUGGUUAAUAGAGAUUGUCGGGGUCAUUCAUAUUCAAUUGUCAGAGGUGAAAUUCUUAGAUUCUUUGAAGAUGAACUGGUGCGAAAGCGUUUGACAAGGAGCUCUCAUUGAUCAAGAACGAAAGUUAGGGGAUCGAAGACGAUCAGAUACCGUCGUAGUCUUAACCUUAAACGAUACGAAUCAAAGAUCAGUUGAUGUUAAUCGUACGACUCCAUUGGAAUUUAACGGGAAACCGUUGAAUGUUUGCGUUCUGGGGGGAGUAUGGUCGCAAGGCUGAAACUUAAAGGAAUUGACGGAAGGGCACACCAGGAGUGGAGCCUGCGGCUUAAUUUGACUCAACACGGGGAAACUUACUAGGUCCAAACAUGGUUAGGAUUGACAGAUUGAUAGUUCUUUCUUAAUUUCUAUGGGUGGUGGUGCAUGGCCGUUCUUAGUUGGUGGAGUGAUUUGUCUGGUUAAUUCCGAUAACGAACGAGAUCGCAUCCUAUUAACUAGUCGCCCUAAUCUUCUACAUGGGUGAAGCUUAUCGGCUUCUGGCAGGCGGGGCAACUCGCUCUGUCAGACUGGUGAGUGGAUCCUUGAUGUAUUGGGGUGUCUUACUUCUUAAAGGGACUGUCGGUGUUUAACCGAAGGAAGUGUGGCAAUAACAGGUCUGUGAUGCCCUUAGAUGUCCUAGGCUGCACGCGCGCUACACUGUCUGGUGCAACGAGCUACAUACUGGUCUGACAGGACUGGUUAAUCUUGUAAAAGCUUGACGUGAUGGGGAUUGAUUAUUGAAAUUAUUAGUCAUGAACGAGGAAUUCCUAGUAAUUGCAGUUCAUCAAACUGCGAUGACUACGUCCCUGCCCUUUGUACACACCGCCCGUCGCUCCUACCGAUUGAAUGGUCCGGUGAAAUCUGCAGAUCGGGUGGUCCACCCAGCAAUGGGCCCAUCUGAGAAGUUGAGUAAACCAUAUUAUUUAGAGGAAGGAGAAGUCGUAACAAGGUUUCCGUAGGUGAACCUGCGGAAG
rnacentral:rRNA from 1 species